CCGAGUUAUACAACUCAUCAAACCCCUGUGAACAUACCUAUACGUUGCCUCGGCGGAACAGACGGGCCCCGUACGGGCCCGGCUCAGGCGCCCGCCAGGAGGACCCCCUAACUCUGUAUUUCUAUAAUGUUAUCUUCUGAGUAAACAAGCAAAUAAAUUA
rnacentral:misc_RNA from 1 species